rnacentral:sRNA from 1 species
GCUGGGCAUGGUGGCGUGUGCCUGUAGUCCCAGCUACUCAGGAGGCUGAGGCAGGAGAAUUGCUUGAACCUGGGAGACCGGAAGUUGCAAUGAGCUGAGACUCAUUGCACUCAGUGCACUCAGUGCACCACUGCACUCCAGCCUGGGUGACAAAGUGAGACUCUGUCUCAA